rnacentral:rRNA from 1 species
CCUACGGGCGGCAGCAGUGAGGAAUAUUGGUCAAUGGCCGCAAGGCUGAACCAGCCAUGCCGCGUGAAGGAAGACGGCUCUAUGAGUUGUAAACUUCUUUUAUAGGAGGGUAAAGGCAUCUACGUGUGGAUAUUUGCAUGUAUCCUAUGAAUAAGCAUCGGCUAACUCCGUGCCAGCAGCCGCGGUAAUACGGAGGAUGCGAGCGUUAUCCGGAUUUAUUGGGUUUAAAGGGUGCGUAGGCUGUUUGUUAAGUCAGAGGUGAAAGUUUGUGGCUCAACCAUGAAAUUGCCGUUGAUACUGGAAGACUAGAGAGUGUUUGAGGUAGGCGGAAUGCGUGGUGUAGCGGUGAAAUGCAUAGAGAUCACACAGAACACCGAUUGCGAAGGCAGCUUACCAAGCCAUAACUGACGCUGAGGCACGAAAGCGUGGGGAGCAAACAGGAUUAGAUACCCGAGUAGUC